rnacentral:rRNA from 1 species
AUUGAACGCUGGCGGCAGGCUUAACACAUGCAAGUCGAGCGGGGAAGGUUGCUUCGGUAACUGACCUAGCGGCGGACGGGUGAGUAAUGCUUAGGAAUCUGCCUAUUAGUGGGGGACAAUGUUCCGAAAGGAACGCUAAUACCGCAUACGCCCUACGGGGGAAAGCAGGGGAUCUUCGGACCUUGCGCUAAUAGAUGAGCCUAAGUCGGAUUAGCUCGUUGGUGGGGUAAAGGCCUACCAAGGCGACGAUCUGUAGCGGGUCUGAGAGGAUGAUCCGCCACACUGGGACUGAGACACGGCCCAGACUCCUACGGGAGGCAGCAGUGGGGAAUAUUGGACAAUGGGCGCAAGCCUGAUCCAGCCAUGCCGCGUGUGUGAAGAAGGCCUUUUGGUUGUAAAGCACUUUAAGCGAGGAGGAGGCUCCUUUAGUUAAUACCUAAAGUGAGUGGACGUUACUCGCAGAAUAAGCACCGGCUAACUCUGUGCCAGCCGCCGCUGUAA